rnacentral:sRNA from 1 species
GGCCCCGCCCCGUCCUAUUCGGGCUCCCGCCUCUGUUCAGUUCCGGAGACAAUUCAUGGGUCUUGGGGCCACCGAGGCGCUGUCCCUGACCACUAGCACAAGACCCCUUUCUAUCGUGCCAGUCCUGUGGUCUCUGCACCUCUCCAGCUCCUGCACCCCCGGCCCCCGGGGUUCCCAGGCGUACAAUCGCGUGUCCCGGGUAGCGUGAGGACCCACGGGGCUGGGCAGGACACUGGGUCCCCUAGGAGCCUCCCCAGGCUUAAUGAUUGUCCAGAAGGUGGCUAUAAAGGGAGCUUGGGAGGCAGGGUGGAGGAGGGAGCAGAAAAAACCCAACUCAGCAGAUCUGGAAACUGUGAGAGCGGCAAGCAGGAGCUGUGGUCAGAGGCUGUGCGUCUUGGCUGGUAGGGCCUGCUCUUUUCUACCAUGGCAGCCCAGGGCUAUGGCUAUUAUCGCACUGUGAUCUUCUCAGCCAUGUUUGGGGGCUACAGCCUGUAUUACUUCAAUCGCAAGACCUUCUCCUUUGUCAUGCCAUCAUUGGUGGAAGAGAUCCCUUUGGACAAGGAUGAUUUGGGGCUCAUCACCAGCAGCCAGUCGGCAGCUUAUGCUAUCAGCAAGUUUGUCAGUGGGGUGCUGUCUGACCAGAUGAGUGCUCGCUGGCUCUUCUCUUCUGGGCUGCUCCUGGUUGGCCUGGUCAACAUAUUCUUUUCCUGGAGCUCCACAGUACCUGUCUUUGCUGCCCUCUGGUUCCUUAAUGGCCUGGCCCAGGGGCUGGGCUGGCCCCCAUGUGGGAAGGUCCUGCGGAAGUGGUUUGAGCCAUCUCAGUUUGGCACUUGGUGGGCCAUCCUAUCAACCAGCAUGAACCUGGCUGGAGGGCUGGGCCCUAUCCUGGCAACCAUCCUCGCCCAGAGCUACAGCUGGCGCAGCACGCUGGCCCUGUCUGGGGCACUGUGUGUGGUUGUCUCCUUCCUCUGUCUCCUGCUCAUCCACAAUGAACCUGCUGAUGUUGGACUCCGCAACCUGGACCCCAUGCCCUCUAAGGGCAAGAAGGGCUCCUUGAAGGAGGAGAGCACCCUACAGGAGCUGCUGCUGUCCCCUUACCUGUGGGUGCUCUCCACUGGUUACCUUGUGGUGUUUGGAGUAAAGACCUGCUGUACUGACUGGGGCCAGUUCUUCCUUAUCCAGGAGAAAGGACAGUCAGCCCUUGUAGGUAGCUCCUACAUGAGUGCCCUGGAAGUUGGGGGCCUUGUAGGCAGCAUCGCAGCUGGCUACCUGUCAGACCGGGCCAUGGCAAAGGCGGGACUGUCCAACUAUGGGAACCCUCGCCAUGGCCUGUUGCUGUUCAUGAUGGCUGGCAUGACAGUGUCCAUGUACCUCUUCCGGGUAACAGUGACCAGUGACUCCCCCAAGGAUGUUGCUUUCUGGACUCUGGCUCUUCACCCUCUCGCGGAGCUCACAGGCUUUACAGAGCAUGAGCUCUGGAUCCUGGUAUUAGGAGCUGUAUUUGGUUUCUCCUCGUAUGGCCCCAUUGCCCUGUUUGGAGUCAUAGCCAAUGAGAGCGCCCCUCCCAAAUUGUGUGGCACCUCCCACGCCAUUGUGGGACUCAUGGCCAAUGUGGGCGGCUUUCUGGCUGGGCUGCCCUUCAGCACCAUUGCCAAGCACUACAGUUGGAGCACAGCAUUCUGGGUGGCUGAAGUGAUUUGUGCAGCCAGCACAGCUGCCUUCUUCCUCCUACGAAACAUCCGCACCAAGAUGGGCCGAGUGUCCAAGAAGGCUGAGUGA